rnacentral:rRNA from 1 species
UGAGGAAUAUUGGUCAAUGGACGCAAGUCUGAACCAGCCAAGUAGCGUGCAGGAUGAUGGCCCUAUGGGUUGUAAACUGCUUUUAUAUGGGGAUAAAGUGGGGAACGUGUUCCCUUUUGCAGGUACCAUAUGAAUAAGGACCGGCUAAUUCCGUGCCAGCAGCCGCGGUAAUACGGAAGGUUCGGGCGUUAUCCGGAUUUAUUGGGCGUAAAGCGCGCGCAGGCGGUCACUUAAGUCCAUCUUAGAAGUGCGGGGCUUAACCCCGUGAUGGGAUGGAAACUGGGGGACUGGAGUAUCGGAGAGGAAAGUGGAAUUCCUAGUGUAGCGGUGAAAUGCGUAGAUAUUAGGAAGAACACCGGUGGCGAAGGCGACUUUCUGGACGAAAACUGACGCUGAGGCGCGAAAGCGUGGGGAGCAAACAGG